rnacentral:rRNA from 1 species
GAACUUAAGCAUAUCAAUAAGCGGAGGAAAAGAAACCAACAGGGAUUGCCCCAGUAACGGCGAGUGAAGCGGCAACAGCUCAAAUUUGAAAUCUGGCCCCUCCGGGUCCGAGUUGUAAUUUGUAGAGGAUGCUUUUGGUGAGGUGCCGCCCGAAUUCCCUGGAACGGGACGCCGCAGAGGGUGAGAGCCCCGUCUGGCUGGCCACCGAGCCUCUGUAAAGCUCCUUCGACGAGUCGAGUAGUUUGGGAAUGCUGCUCAAAAUGGGAGGUAUAUGUCUUCUAAAGCUAAAUAUUGGCCAGAGACCGAUAGCGCACAAGUAGAGUGAUCGAAAGAUGAAAAGCACCUUGAAAAGAGGGUUAAACAGUACGUGAAAUUGUUGAAAGGGAAGCGCUUGUGACCAGACUUGGGCGCGGCGGAUCAUCCGGGGUUCUCCCCGGUGCACUUCGCCGCGUCCAGGCCAGCAUCAGUUCGUCGCGGGGGAAAAAGGCUUCGGGAACGUGGCUCCUCCGGGAGUGUUAUAGCCCGUUGCAUAAUACCCUGCGGUGGACUGAGGACCGCGCAUCUGCAAGGAUGCUGGCGUAAUGGUCACCAGCGACCCGUCUUGAAACACGGACCAAGGAGUCGUCUUCGUAUGCGAGUGUUCGGGUGUCAAACCCCUACGCGUAAUGAAAGUGAACGCAGGUGAGAGCUUCGGCGCAUCAUCGACCGAUCCUGAUGUUCUCGGAUGGAUUUGAGUAAGAGCAUACGGGGCCGGACCCGAAA